AAAGUACUCCCUCCGUCCCGAAAUUCUUGUCUUAGAUUUGUCUAGAUACGGAUGUAUCAAGUCACAUUUUAGUAUUAGAUACAUCCGUAGCUAGACAAAUCUAAGACAAGAACUUGGGACAGAGGGAGUAGUUG
rfam:Triticum aestivum genome assembly, contig: Triticum_aestivum_CS42_TGACv1_scaffold_063209_1DL